rnacentral:rRNA from 1 species
GUCUUAUUGAUUAUAAUUUUAAGUCUAAUCUGCCCUAUGAUUAAUUAAAUGGCUGCAGUAUUUUAACUGUACAAAGGUAGCAUAAUAAUUAGUUUCUUAAUUAGGAACUGGAAUGAAUGAUUGGACGAGAUAAUAACUGUCUUGAUUUAAAUUUUAGAAUUUUAUUUUUAAGUUAAAAAGCUUAAAUUUUUUUAAAAGACGAGAAGACCCUAUAGAAUUUUAUAUUAAUUAAUUAUUUUAUUUUUAGUUAUUUGAUUUAAAAUUUAUUAAUGGAAUAUUUAAUUGGGGUGAUUGAAAAAUUUAAUUAACUUUUUUUAAUAAUUAACAUUAAUUUAUGGUUAAAUGAUCCAGAUGUUCUGAUUAUAAGAUUAAAUUACCUUAGGGAUAACAGCGUAAUUUUUUUAGAGAGUUCUAAUCGAUAAAAGAGAUUGCGACCUCGAUGUUGGAUUAAAGUUAAUUUUUAAUGUAGGAGUUAAAAUAUUAGGUCUGUUCGACCUUUGAAACUU